GAUGAACGCUGGCGGCGUGCCUAAUACAUGCAAGUCGAGCGAAGCGGGCACGGGUGAGUAACACGUGGAUAACCUCCUAUAAGACUGGGAUAACUUCGGGAAACCGGAGCUAAACCGGUUACUUAUAGAUGGAUUCGCGCUGCAUUAGCUAGUUGGUAAGGUAACGGCUUACCAAGGCAACGAUGCUUAUCCGACCUGAGAGGGUAAUGAGGCACAAUGGGAAUAAGACACGGUCCAGACUCCUACGGGAGGCAGCAGUAGGGAAUCUUCCGCAAUGGGCGAAAACCUGACGGAGCAACGACGCGUGUGUGAUGAAGGUCUUCGGAUCGUAAAAAUCUGUUAUUAGGGAAGCGGUACCAAAACAGAAAGCCACGGCUAACUACGUGCCAGCAGCCGCGGUAAUAC
rnacentral:rRNA from 1 species